rnacentral:rRNA from 1 species
UACGGAGGGCGCGAGCGUUAUCCGGAAUCACUGGGUUUAAAGGGUGCGUAGGCGGCUCGGUAAGUCAGUUGUGAAAGCCCCUUGCUUAACGAGGGAGGUGCGAUUGAUACUGUCGAGCUUGAAUCGGGAUGAGGCAGGCGGAAUGUGGCAUGUAGCGGUGAAAUGCAUAGAUAUGCCAUAGAACACCGAUUGCGAAGGCAGCCUGCGGGGCCCGUAGUGACGCUGAGGCACGAAAGCGUGGGGAGCAAACAGG